AUUGAACGCUGGCGGCAGGCCUAACACAUGCAAGUCGCGCGGAUGAAGGGAGCUUGCUCCUGGAUUCAGCGGCGGACGGGUGUGUAAUGCCUAGGAAUCUGCCUGGGAGUGGGGGAUAACGUCCGGCAACGGGCGCUCAUACCGCAUACGUUCUGAGGGUGAACGUGGGGGCUCUUCGGACCUCACGCUAUCAGAUGAGCCUAGGUCGGAUUAGCUAGUUGGUGGGGUAAAGGCCUCCCAAGGCGACGAUCCGUAACUGGUCUGAGAGGAUGAUCAGUCACACUGGAACUGAUACACGGUCCAGACUCCUACGAGAGGCAGCGUUAGGGAAUAUUGGACAAUGGGCGAAAUCCUGAUCCAGCCAUGCCGCGUGUGUGAAGAAUGUCUUCGGAUUGUAAAGCACUUUAAGUUGGGAGGAAGGGCAGUAAGUUAAUACCUGGCUGUUUUGACGUUACCAACAGAAUAAGCACCGGCUAACUUCGUG
rnacentral:rRNA from 1 species